rnacentral:misc_RNA from 1 species
UACGGAGGAUCCAAGCGUUAUCCGGAUUUAUUGGGUUUAAAGGGUGCGUAGGCGGAGUAAUAAGUCAGUGGUGAAAUCUCCCAGCUCAACUGGGAAACUGCCAUUGAUACUGUUAUUCUUGAGUUUGGUUGAAGUAGGCGGAAUGAGGCAUGUAGCGGUGAAAUGCAUAGAUAUGCCUCAGAACACCGAUUGCGAAGGCAGCUUACUAAGCCACGACUGACGCUGAGGCACGAAAGCGUGGGGAGCGAACAGG